UACGGAGGGGGCUAGCGUUGUUCGGAAUUACUGGGCGUAAAGCGCACGUAGGCGGCUUUGUAAGUUAGAGGUGAAAGCCCGGGGCUCAACUCCGGAACUGCCUUUAAGACUGCAUCGCUUGAACUGUGGAGAGGUAAGUGGAAUUCCGAGUGUAGAGGUGAAAUUCGUAGAUAUUCGGAAGAACACCAGUGGCGAAGGCGACUUACUGGACACAUAUUGACGCUGAGGUGCGAAAGCGUGGGGAGCAAACAGG
rnacentral:rRNA from 1 species